rnacentral:rRNA from 1 species
UACAGAGGUCCCAAGCGUUGUUCGGAUUCACUGGGCGUAAAGGGUGCGCAGGUGGUCGGGUAAGUCUGACGUGAAAUCCCGCAGCUUAACUGCGGAAUGGCAUUGGAUACUAUUCGGCUAGAGGGUUGGAGGGGGGACUGGAAUUCUCGGUGUAGCAGUGAAAUGCGUAGAUAUCGUGAGGAAUACCAGAGGCGAAGGCGGCUACCUGGACAAUUGCUGACGCUCAGGCACGAAAGCGUGGGGAGCAAAAGGG